rnacentral:misc_RNA from 1 species
UGGUUCCGGCAUCGAUGAAGAACGCAGCGAAAUGCGAUAAUUAAUGUGAAUUGCAGAAUUCCGUGAAUCAUCGAGUUUUUGAACGCACAUUGCGCCCCCUGGCAUUCCGGGGGGCAUGCCUGUCCGAGCGUCAUUUCUGCCCUCCAGCGCGGCUGGGUGUUGGGCGCUGUCCCCCCGGGGACACGCCCCAAAAGCAGUGGCGGCGCCGCAUCGGGUCCUCGAGCGUAUGGGGCUUUGUCACCCGCUCGGGAGGGACUCGUCGGCGCUGGUCUUCCCCCUAGGCGACCCUCCGGGGCUCGUCUUCUUCCGGUUGACCUCGGAUCAGGUAGGGCUACCCGCUGA